AUCUGUUGACACUGUGUAGCUUGACUGUGACAGAUAGCACUAAGUGUAAUACAUGUCAGUUAAAACGUAUCCUUUUUAAUUAAUCGCAAAAUAUUAUUUACACUGGUAGGAAUACAUAUUUAGUUUGAGUGUCUCUGAAACUUUGCCUGACGAACCCCAAGAGGUUUGGUAUAGGUAGGUAGCCACUGCCUACCGUACAUGUAAGUGUCGAUAGUAUGUCAGAUUAGCUCCAGGCUACUGUCAGAACAUAGUGGCUGUCAUAAGCUACCAAUGCCCAUACAUUUUGCUGUAUGGUGUGUUAAUCUUUCCCUCUCUUACUGCAGUGUCAGAUUUAGUUAAUUUGGAAGUAGCAGUUCGGGCGAACUGCUACUGUUCCCAGAAGAAAAACGAUGAGCCUCACACCCCGCAGGCUACAGUGCUAGGAAGUCAGGCCUGAGUCUGAAAUCAAACUCUAUCUCGCUUUUCAUAGUAUUUUGUGAAUCAAUGGGACUGUUACUUAGGCCUACCUUUCUGACCACUUUAAUUAGAUUUACAUUUUGUGAUUCAAACAACAGGCCCACCUCGUAAUAUGUAGCAUAAUGGAUAGCCUAGAGCAUGGUUUCAGACCUUCACAGAUUCAGUUGCAUGUUCAGUCUGUGUGUGUUUUUAUUAUUAUUGUUGCUGUUCCAAAAUGCUCUCUCUUUCUCCAGAUCUGCUGUUGCAGAUGAUAAUGUUUUGUUUCAUGUCUGCUGUUGCAGAUUACACAUGACCACUUCACAGGGGAGAAAAGCGUGCCAACACCUGUCGUGCACCAGUGUUCUGCAGUCGUGGACCAAGGACACAGGGGAUUCGCUCCAGGGGAUUCGCCCGGAACCCACUGACCAACUUGUGGUCAGGAAACCCAAGGUUUGGGUUAGGUGUUUUAUUUUAGCACAUACAUGGACACAUACCUCCUGAAUGCCAAGUAAAUAUGGCCGAGGGAUACACACACCCCAUUUCAUUUAUUUAUUUCUGUUAAAUGUAUAUAUGUAAAUAUUUUAAUCAAAGAAUUGGAAACGAACAUUCCUGAACAUUUGUUUAAGGUAACGCACUCUGAGCACCUUUAAAACAAGCCUGAAGACUUUUAUGUUUGCAUUAGCUUUCUGCUACAUCUUAAAUACAUUGCACUUUCUAAAAAGCUUUUUUAACUUUGCCUUUAUUUUCUAUUUUAAUACUAAAAUGCCUUUAACUUUCUAUUUUACUAAUUUCUCUGCAUGUUUUAUUUUACUUAUCUAUUUUAUUGUAUGACAAUGUUUAUAUGUGAAGCACUUUGAGUCUGCCCUUGUGUAUGAAAAGUGCUAUAUAAAUAAAGUUGCCUUGCCUAACACACACAGAACAUUUCAUUUCUUUCUGUUAAAUGUAAAUAUGUAUAUAUGUAAAUUUAUAUUUAAAAAAAAGAAUUGGAAACGAACAUUAAAUAAACAUUUGAAAAGGACGGACGGACACAAACACACACACACCAUUUUAAUUUCUUUCUGCUAAAUGUAAACAAAGAACAUUAAUAAACGUUUGAAAAUA